rnacentral:rRNA from 1 species
AACGAACGCUGGCGGCAGGCCUAACACAUGCAAGUCGAGCGGACCCUUCGGGGUUAGCGGCGGACGGGUGAGUAACGCGUGGGAAUAUGCCCUUCUCUACGGAAUAGUCCUGGGAAACUGGGGGUAAUACCGUAUACGCCCUUUGGGGGAAAGAUUUAUCGGGGAAGGAUUAGCCCGCGUUGGAUUAGGUAGUUGGUGGGGUAAUGGCCUACCAAGCCGACGAUCCAUAGCUGGUGUGAGAGGAUGAUCAGCCACACUGGGACUGAGACACGGCCCAGACUCCUACGGGAGGCAGCAGUGGGGAAUCUUAGACAAUGGGGGCAACCCUGAUCUAGCCAUGCCGCGUGAGUGAUGAAGGCCUUAGGGUUGUAAAGCUCUUUCAGCUGGGAAGAUAAUGACGGUACCAGCAGAAGAAGCCCCGGCUAACUCCGUG